rnacentral:rRNA from 1 species
AMGAMUGCUGGCGGCGUGCCUAAUACAUGUCAAGUCGAACGAACGGAGCUAGGAACUUGUUCCCGGCAAAGUUAGUGGCGCACGGGUGAGUAACACGUGGAGAACCUACCCUUUUGCGGGGGAUAACCAUUGGAAACGAUGACUAAUACCGCAUAGAAUCGCAGAUCGCAUGAUCAACGAAGGAAAGACGGCUUCGGCUGUCACAAAAGGAUGGCUCCGCGGUGCAUUAGCUAGAUGGUGGGGUAACGGCCUACCAUGGCAAUGAUGCAUAGCCGACCUGAGAGGGUGAUCGGCCACAUUGGGACUGAGACACGGCCCAAACUCCUACGGGAGGCAGCAGUAGGGAAUCUUCCGCAAUGGGCGCAAGCCUGACGGAGCAACGCCGCGUGUGUGAAGAAGGUCUUCGGAUCGUAAAGCACUGUUGUUAGAGAAGAACGACCGCUAGAGUAACUGUUAGUGGAGUGACGGUAUCUAACCAGAAAGCCACGGCUAACUACGUGCCAGCAGCCGCGGUAAUACGUAGGUGGCAAGCGUUGUCCGGAUUUAUUGGGCGUAAAGGGAGCGCAGGCGGUGACUUAAGUCUGAUGUGAAAGCCCAMGGCUC